rnacentral:rRNA from 1 species
GACGAACGCUGGCGGCGUGCUUAACACAUGCAAGUCGAACGGAAAGGCCCUGCUUUUGUGGGGUGCUCGAGUGGCGAACGGGUGAGUAACACGUGAGUAACCUGCCCUUGACUUUGGGAUAACUUCAGGAAACUGGGGCUAAUACCGGAUAGGAGCUCCUGCUGCAUGGUGGGGGUUGGAAAGUUUCGGCGGUUGGGGAUGGACUCGCGGCUUAUCAGCUUGUUGGUGGGGUAGUGGCUUACCAAGGCUUUGACGGGUAGCCGGCCUGAGAGGGUGACCGGCCACAUUGGGACUGAGAGACGGCCCAGACUCCUACGGGAGGCAGCAGUGGGGAAUAUUGCACAAUGGGCGGAAGCCUGAUGCAGAAACGCCGCGUGCGGGAUGACGGCCUUCGGGUGGUAAACCGCUUUCGCCUGUGACGAAGCGUGAGUGACGGUAAUGGGUAAAGAAGCACCGGCUAACUACGUG